rnacentral:rRNA from 1 species
UACGUAGGGUGCGAGCGUUAAUCGGAAUUACUGGGCGUAAAGUGUGCGCAGGCGGCCUUGCAAGUCGAGUGUGAAAUCCCCGGGCUUAACUUGGGAAUGGCGCUCGAAACUACAGGGCUCGAGUGUGGCAGAGGGGGGUGGAAUUCCACGUGUAGCGGUGAAAUGCGUAGAGAUGUGGAGGAACACCAAUGGCGAAGGCAGCCCCCUGGGCCAACACUGACGCUCAUGCACGAAAGCGUGGGGAGCAAACAGG